AGCCCGCGCCCAGCGCGUGCGUGCAGGAGCGGUCUGCAAACUGGGGCUUGGCUUUGCAAAUUAACCAAAAGCCAAACCAGGGGUUAAACGUGCUGGCGAAGGCCUUUUGUUUGCAAACUGUUUGCGCGGGGCACCCAUCGGAACAAUUGUUGAGCGUGCAUCCCUGUGCCUGUGUGAACUGAUGGGUGCUAAUAUGUUAACUACUAAUAAAGGGCCAACGCUCUAAAUCACAGAAGCUACAACUGGAAAGACUAAGAAAGAUCUUUAUUAGAAAUAUAUACACUUUUGUGCUCACAAAAGUUAUUUUAAAAUUUAAGGAGCCCAGUGUAUUUGAAUGUGUGUUUGUUUUCAUCUUAGUUUAAGGCUUUGAAAUAGAGUGAAUUUGAAAACCUGGUUUUAAGUUCAGUUUAUAUUUCUAAACUUGCAGCAUCCAUCGAUGGCUCUCAGGAGGAAGGGCUCCUCGGGAAAUGGUUGAUUUCAAUGGAAUAAAGGCAACCUAACUGUGGAGGGAUGGCUGACACUGGAAUGUGCCCUCUGCCAGUGGCAAAGAAGUUUGCUGGAGGUCAAAACUGGUUCACAGAAGCUCUCUGCUGUUGCAGGAGGUGGUGGGCAAGCUGGACCUGCGCUAUGGAAGCAAAAUGCCAGGUCCUAUCGGAGGGAGAAGAAAGACCUAGGCCCACUGAACAGUUGUCAUGAUCAAUCCACAAGCUUUGUGGCCGUAUCUGUCGUUCCCGUGGCUGUUUGGGUGGCUACCCCAGGCUCCAGGUGUCUACCCAUUGCUUCUGCUUCCUAAGGAAUAGGAAUGGCAUCCUUACAGAGACUUGUGAAGCUGAAAGGACACCUGAGGUGUCCUUGCUUUUUGCCCACUGGACACCUGUGUUUUCCUGCUCCUUUCUGAGAUGUGCCACAGGAGGUGAUGGCCAAGUAUGAGAGAAGUAAAUGCUUAUCCCAGCUCUCGAUGGACCCUUCUAAGGAGCCCUUGAGCCUGAACUGGGGAUGAAGUCAUGGUCUGCACUGUGGGGUUCCGACCACCUGAGAAGGUGCGAAGUUGAUAUUAUUCCAUGUUAAGAGUCUGUUCAAAGUCCUUAAAGUUAUGGCAGGAAAUGACUCAUCUGAUUCCAACGUCAGCUUUGCUCUCGAGUACAGUCUCCAGGCGCAGUCCUAUGGCCGACACCACCCUCUGCUCCUUCGGAUUUACCCUGUGUCUAUACUCUACAUAUUUUGUUCCAUUUCCCAUUAAACAAAUGUUGGCACAGGGAUUAUAUAAACCACAUUCAUAUAUUAUUACUUUGGAUAAAGUUCUGAUCACUAGACCUGGUUUGAGACCUAUUGUCGGUUUUCUUUACAACUAGACACUUACGGGUUGAUUUAAAUGACUGUUUACCAGAAAUGCUGGCCCAAUUAAAGUUGUCCCUGGGACCCCUAGAGAAGUGUACAGAGAGUUAGUGGAUUGUCUCACAUGGCUCUCUCUUGCCCAUCAGCUUUAAAUAACAUGUUUGAACUUACACUGAGAAAUGGGUAAGUUUUCUCCGCGUAUAUCCCGUUGGCUGUUUUAAGUACAUAGGCGUUACUGGGAUUGUUGAUUUUGGAGAUGAGUGUCUGGAAAUCAGAGUGUAUUUCUUCAACCUUCCCCAAGUUGAAGUCCUUUGAAAGAAAAGGGACUGGUCAGUGAACAAGAGCUGAAUAUAUAGGAACAACCUAGAGCUAAAUGAAAUGAUUUGGUGCAUCGUGAACAAAAGCUGAAAUUAAUUCUAAAGCAGAUAAAAUGUUUUCUCUAAUGCAUCAGUGCAAAAAACAUCGAGAUAAUUGAAGGCAUCAUUUUCUUCACAUUUAGUUUGCAAAAGCAGGAACAAUUUUGAAAGUAGGGCAGUUUUAAAAGGGAAGUAAAGGAGGAUAAGAGAGAAUGUUAAAAAUAUGACCCUUCCAAAAAGUAUAAACAUUUUGUAUUAUGAAAAAAUUUCUAUAAUUUUAAUACACGCUUCUAAGACUACCCAGAAAGGUUGCUUAAAUUAGCCACUAACACGCAGGUGCUAAAAGUGGUUUCUCCUUAAUCAGCAAAUGGAUAUUAAAAUAGAAAAUAUACCGUUUUCCUUUUCUUUUCACUUUCAGGAUAAGACUUGAUGUCCUGAGCUCUGUUAAACUGAAGCACCUGUAAUUUCAAUAAAGACAAUAGAUUGGGAAACUGAAGUCCAGAGAGUUGAAGAGAGUUGCCUCAAAUUAUAGUGCUGAUGACAUCAGAGAACAGCUGGGUUCGGGUCUGUCAGCGGCUCUGGGAUGAGACUCAUGAUAAAAGUGGCGGUGGAACCAGGGUCCCUCAGUCCCUCAGCCAGUGCAUCUUCUCAGUACACCCAUGACUGCUCACUCCACACAGAAAAUGAGAAAUAAGGGUGCAUCUCAGCAACUUUGUAGUUUUUCUCACUUUUCAUCCAUAUUUUUAUUUUUUUAAAUGCUUUUAUUGG